rnacentral:tRNA from 1 species
GGAGAGAUGGCUGAGCGGCUGAAGGCGCACGCCUGGAAAGUGUGUUUAGGUUAAUCCCUAACGAGGGUUCGAAUCCCUCUCUCUCCG